rnacentral:rRNA from 1 species
AGUUCGAUUAUGGCUCAGGAUGAACGCUGGCGGCAUGCCUAAUACAUGCAAGUCGAACGGAGUGAAGCCUUCGGGUUUCAUUCAGUGGCGAACGGGUGAGUAAUACGCAGGGAACCUGGCCAUGGCAGGGGGAUACACUCUGGAAACGGAGCAUAAGACCCCAUAGGCAGUAAGGCGGCAUCGCCUUACUGUUAAAGAAAGCUGAAAGGCUUUGGCGAUGGAUGGACCUGCGGUGCAUUAGCUUGUUGGUGAGGCAACGGCUUACCAAGGCGAUGAUGCAUAGCCGGCCUGAGAGGGCGGACGGCCACACUGGGACUGAGACACGGCCCAGACUCCUGCGGGAGGCAGCAGUAGGGAAUUUUCGUCAAUGGGCGCAAGCCUGAACGAGCAAUGCCGCGUGAGUGAGGAAGGUCUUCGGACUGUAAAGCUCUGUUGCCGGGGAAAAAGGGGAAAUGCAGGAAAUGGCAUUUCAUGGAUGGUACCCGGCCAGAAAGCCACGGCUAACUACGUGCCAGCAGCCGCGGUAAUACGUAGGUGGCGAGCGUUAUCCGGAAUGAUUGGGCGUAAAGGGUGCGCAGGCGGUCUGUUAAGUCUGAAGGCAAAGGGAUGAGCUCAACUCAUUUAUGAUUCAGAAACUGGCAGACUUGAGGACAGGAGAGGGCGGUGGAACUCCAUGUGUAGCGGUAAAAUGCGCAGAGAUAUGGAAGAACACCAGUGGCGAAGGCGGCCGCCUGGCCUGUGACUGACGCUGAGGCACGAAAGCGUGGGGAGCAAAUAGGAUUAGAUACCCUAGUAGUCCACGCCGUAAACGAUGAGGAGCAGGUGUUGGGAGUGAAAUCUCAGUGCCGAAGCCAACGCAGUGACUCCUCCGCCUGGGGAGUAUGCACGCAAGUGUGAAACUCAAAGGAAUUGACGGGGGCCCGCACAAGCGGUGGAGUAUGUGGUUUAAUUCGAAGCAACGCGAAGAACCUUACCAGGUUUUGACAUCGGAUGCGAAGGUGCAGAGAUGCGCUGGAGGCUAUCAUCCAGACAGGUGGUGCAUGGUUGUCGUCAGCUCGUGUCGUGAGAUGUUCAGUUAAGUCUGGCAACGAGCGCAACCCCCGUGGUAUGUUACUAACGCUUAGGGCGAGGACUCAUAUCAGACUGCCGGUGACAAACCGGAGGAAGGCGGGGAUGACGUCAAAUCAUCAUGCCCCUUAUGACCUGGGCUACACACGUACUACAAUGGCGUCUACAGAGGGAAGCGACCCUGAGGAGGGAAGCGAAACCGGAAAAGGGCGUCCCAGUUCGGAUUGAAGUCUGCAACCCGACUUCAUGAAGAUGGAAUCGCUAGUAAUCGCGGAUCAGCAUGCCGCGGUGAAUACGUUCCCGGGCCUUGUACACACCGCCCGUCAAACCAUGGAAGCCGGCAACGCCCGAAGCCGGUGGCAUAACCUUUUAGGAGUGAGCCGUCGAAGGCGGGGCUGAUGACUGGGGUUAAGUCGUAACAAGGUACCC